rnacentral:rRNA from 1 species
UACGAAGGGGGCUAGCGUUGCUCGGAAUUACUGGGCGUAAAGGGCGCGUAGGCGGCACUGUUAGUCAGGCGUGAAAUUCCUGGGCUCAACCUGGGGACUGCGCUUGAUACGGCAGAGCUUGAGGAUGGAAGAGGGUCGCGGAAUUCCCAGUGUAGAGGUGAAAUUCGUAGAUAUUGGGAAGAACACCGGUGGCGAAGGCCGCGACCUGGUCCAUUACUGACGCUGAGGCGCGACAGCGUGGGGAGCAAACAGG